UACGUAGGGAGCAAGCGUUGUUCGGAUUUACUGGGCGUAAAGGGCGCGUAGGCGGCGCGGUAAGUCACUUGUGAAAUCUCUGAGCUUAACUCAGAACGGCCAAGUGAUACUGCAGUGCUAGAGUGCAGAAAGGGCAAUCGGAAUUCCUGGUGUAGCGGUGAAAUGCGCAGAUAUCAGGAGGAACACCGAUGGCGAAGGCAGCUCACUGGGACGGUACUGACGCUGAGGCGCGAAAGCGUGGGGAGCAAACAGG
rnacentral:rRNA from 1 species